UCCUGCUCUCGCUGUCCACCUUCACAUGCUGAGCUCGGACCUGGUCACAACAACAGCCCAGACCCUGAGAGCACCCCGAGAGGCCUCUCUCUCACGACCUCUCACUCCAGGCAGGGAGGCUGCAAAUAUAGGGUGGGCUUGGCAAGGACACCGUCUUCACUGGACAAGGAUGCCAUGCUCUUACUGCUUUGGAGGUUUGAUGCAAUGGGCCCUUCAGAGGAGUGACUUUGGGGAAAGUCUCUGUACUUCAGUUUCCUCACCUCAUGGAAGAUCUUAAGUCCCUGAUCUGGGAUUGAACCUGCACCUCCUGCACUGGAAAGGGGAUCUUCCUGACCCAGGGAUUGAAGCCACGUCUCCUGUGAGUCUACUGCAUUGCAGGUGGAUUCUUUACCACUGAGCCACCGGGGAAGCCCUCCCCCAGAGGCCUGCAUGCAUGCAUGCUAAGUCACUUCAGUCGUGUCCGACUCUGUGCGACCCCAUGGACAGCAGCCCAUCAGGCUCCUGUGUCCACGGAUUCUCCAGGCAAGAACACUGGAAUGGGUUGCCGUUUCCUUCUCCACCCCCCAGAGGCCUAGUGCUCGUUAAAUGCUUGUUGACUGAAUUCCAGUGUUGCAUAGAGCUAUUCCCAACACCCAGGAGGGUGAUGCUGUUGCACGCUAACAGCGGCGCCUUCCUUCUUCCCAAAACAGCCUCCGAAGCUUCAAGCUGCGAACUGCGCCUUCACACCACCGUCUGUGGCUUUGGGAGUCAAGGGGAGAAUUCACAGUACUUUGGAAAACACAUUUUCUUUAAAGGAAGAAUUUUUUGUUUUCAUUUCAAACAGCGCUGGCUGGUGACGAGUGGUGAGGAGAGGCGCCCUGUUUUCCAUCCUCACACCUAUUUCCAGGUGGGGGCAGGGAAGGCUCCAGCCCGAAAUGUUAUUUCAAAACCUUUCCGGGCCUUGCAGCUCCAUUUCCAGGCCACAUGCCUCAAAGAAAAGCACGAUUUCCCAUUACGUCGUGUUUUGCCCUUUCUGGUCUGAGCACCUUUCAAAGGGGGACAACCCAGCCUGUUCCAACAUUCCCUCCGGCCCCAUAAAUAGAGCCGCAUCGUGUGAUGUAGGGCGCCCGAUGGCCCUGCUCCCAAUAGGCAUGCUUGCCAAGAGCCGCAAACUCAGGCCACUCCUCCCAGGCCCUCAAGAGAUAGAAGACAAAACUGGUGUGACAUGAAUGCUCCCUGCCUGCUCUCUGCCAUCUGAGGCACAUUCCUGAAAGGCGCAAGGCCAGCAAAGUCUUGUCAUCUGUUGGGGAUGUGAACAGAGGUAGAUCACGUGCUCCCUGCCGGGGAAGGCCACGUUUAGACACUCCCGGAUAGCCAGCUGCCACUUUAUUAACAGAAAGUAUCCCCAUCUGAACCAGGCUGGGAAAGAAAAUAUUUAUGCUUGCCUGUCAGGAGGACCUUCAUUUUUCUUCCAAGGGAGCCAGCCAGGGUGCUGGCCCAGGGAUGAAGGAAUGUGACAUUUCUGUGGGGCUUCUCCAAGCUCUUCUCUGGUCUGGGGUUGAUGGAAACUCCAGAAUAUCCACAGGAGAGCUCUAGACAAGUAUGAGGGGCUUCAGGAGGACUGGAUGUGGGAGCCCAAGAGAGGUAGGUCAGGGCAAACAGAACACACCCUGGACCCUGUUAAGCUGUGAAUGAGCUAUCUGGGUGUGGAUGUGGAGGCUGCAGUUAAGAGAUCCUGUCCAAAUGCACCUUGAAAUGACUCCAGUAUUGACUAAAAACACGGAGCUACAUUAAUCUGAGGAGUGACUUUGUAUGGAGAAUAAAAUAAUCUUACACCGUUAGAAACUGUCAACACGGGAGCUGAACCUGUCAUUUAAGCUGGGCACAUAUUAAAACCAGUUUGUGUUAUUGUUCUGAUCAUGGUCAUUAUUUUGUACGAAAGUCACAACCAGUUCUUUAACAAUUUCAGGGAUACCUGUGGAUCUGAGCCUGGGGAACUGUGUAGGACUCCUGGAGACAACUACACGCACCGAUGAUGGUGACUGAGUAAUAAGGCUCAGAGCUGCACAAGCCACGUGGCCCUGGCGAAUGGAGGCUUUGGCCUCAUGGGCAUAGCAGGAGGGCGAGGCUCACCGCUUAUUCCCAACAGAUCAUGCAUAUUGGAGUUAGAAGUGUGUUACUUGCUCAGUCAUGUCUGACUCUUCGCGACCCCAUGGACUGUAGCCCUCCAGGCUCCUUUGUCCAUGGGAUUUUCCAGGCAAGAAUACUGGAGUGGGUUACCAUUCCCUUCUCCAUGGGAUCUUCCCUACCCAGGGAUUGAACUCUGGUCUCCUGAAUUGUAGGCAGAGUUUUUACUGUCUGAGCCACCAGGGAGUCAGGAGACCUGGGUCCAAAUCCAAACUCUACCUUGUAGAGUUGUGCAACUAACUCUGAGCACCUUAUUUAAGAUUUAAUCUCUCCUGCUCCUUCCAGCCCAUAGCAGCUGCUGAAAGGAAGUGGACAGAGGGGCUUGGAGGCUCUCUGGGAGCUAAUACAUGUCUCCCUCAGGGGGAAGGGGACUAUCUUGAGAAUAACGGGCGCUAAUUACCUCUGUAAAACACAGCACAGUGAGAGCUCAGUAAGUGAUUCCAGAAGCAGUGGUAGGGAUAACACCCAUUACUCCCCAUCUAGAAGUGUAUCAGUAAUUUUUGCUGAUACCUGAAUUAAUAUUUGCAAAUGUGUGCAAGCGUAAUUCCUAGUUCACACCUGUAUUAGUCUACUUGGGCUGCUAUAACAAAAACCCACAGAUUGAGAGGUUUAAACGAAAGACAUUUAUUUUCUCACGGUUCUGGAGGCUGAAAAGUCUAAGAGCAAGUUGCUGGCAGAUUUGUUUCUGGCUUGCACUUGGCCACCUUCUCACUGUGACCUCACAGGGUACAGAGAGCAGCUCUCAUCUUUCUUCCUCUUCUUAUAAGAAUACCAAUCCCUUCAUAGGGGCCCCACCCUCAUGAUUUCAUCUAACUUAAUUGCCUCCCUGAGGCCCUAUCUCCUAAUACCAUCACAUUGGGGGUUGGGGCUUCAACAUAUAAAUUUGGGGGGAGGACACAAAUAUUCAGUCCAUAACAGUAUCUGUAUGUGACAUCUGUUAAUUCAUAUCUGUAUCUGCUUAUGAACUAGUAUAUUGUCUUAAUGCCCACUUAUGUCUUGUAAGUUAAAACAGAACAGUGGUGGCACAGGAGCUUACAUACUUUAGUGUGUGCCUCCGUGUAGACCUGUGUGUGCCUGAGAGCCUAGCACAGGUUGACGUCAUGGGCUUAGGCCGCCUGUGCAAGUGAUCCAUGUGUGAUAUGUGUACACAUGUGUAUACAAGCCUGGGAAGGGCAUGACUCCGACUGCUGUAGGCAGCUGCCCUUUAGCCCAGCCUGGCAGGGCUCCUGCUCCUUCCAGCCCAUAGCAGCUGCUGAAAGGAAGCAGACAGAGGGGCUUGGAGGCUCUCUGGGACCAGGGAUCUGUCAAGCCCGAGAUCCUUAGCUGCAGGUCUGCCUGUUCUACACUGCAGAGGAACCCCAGCCUGAGAGCACAGUGUGCCUGGAGAGGGGACAUGGAGCCUCUCUUUGACGUGGGGAACUUGAUUCGCUCAUCUUCAUCCAGCAGGAGACCCAUCUUCACCUAUUCAAAUGAAUCAUUUAUCUCAUUUAGAGCCUUCCAAGCUUCAGCCCAAAUGACAUUUGCUUAGCAAUUGGCCUGUUUGAAAAGCCGACGUAUUAGAGCCAAACACUGCACCAUCUUUCUGAGCUGGGGGCACGGGGAGACAGGCCCGUGGGAUACAGCAGGAGGGAGGUGGGGGGUGUUCAGUCGGUCAAGGAUCCUACGGAAACAGGCAAACACAUUAUCCACUCCAAUACAGGCAAUUUCCCUCCCCCCACCCCCCCCACCCCAGGGUGGCUAAUUAGCUGGUGGCUGCCCGGGCUCUGUACUUGACUUGCAGAAUUAGAAUGCUCAGCACAGAGAUCCAUGUUUAUGCUCAAAAUCAUCGUCCCUCUUCCCCAACCAGGAGAGGAGCUCUGACUGUGAGUUCUGGGUCCUGGAGACUGCUCAACUGGCAUUUCAGGGGCCUGGAUGGAGCUCCUCCUCCACAGAAACUCCUGCUCUGUUGGAGGCCUCAGAAAAUGGCAGGCUCACCAAUGCAGGCACACAGGACAUAUCCACACACGAGCAUAAAGUCUCCUCACGUAUGUAAACGUGAUGCUGAGGCACAGCCACAACAAAUUCACCCAGAGGCAUAGGUACCCACCCUUGGAGACACGCAUGUGCUCCCAGCACGUCUGUUCACAGAUGCCCAGAGACACACACGGAAACACACUUGCAUGUGUGCAUGUAGACACUUGCCUAGACUUACAGGCAUGUGGUGCAUCCCCUUCACAGGCCGCCUGGACCAGGAUACGCAUGGAGACAGGGAAGCUGCUUAAAUCUGCA
ensembl:lncRNA